rnacentral:lncRNA from 10 species
GUCCUAUGAGAAACAAGCUGCCCCCUCACCCAUGUCCACUAUGCCGAGGCAAUCACUGGAAGGCACACUGCCCCCAAGGACAAAGGUUCUCUGGGCCAGAAGCCCCCAACCAGAUGAUCCAUCAACAGGACUGAGGGUGCCCGGGGAAAGUGCCAGCUCACGUCAUCACUCUCACUGAGCCCCAGAAUCCAGGCCAUCAAGCUAUAGAUGGUCUUACAAAUGGAACCCCAAAUGAGCUCAAUUAACAACUUCUACCAAAGACUCCUGGACUGACCCUCUGGCCCUUUCACUGGCCUAAAGAGCUCCCCUCUGGAGGACACUACAACUGCAGGUCCUCUUCUUCACCCUUAACCAGCAGGAAGUAGCUAGAGUGGUCAUCACCCAAUUCCAAACAGUAGUUGGGGUGUCCUGUUUAGAGGGGGGAUUGAGAGGUGAGGCCAGCUGGACUUCCUGAGUCGAGUGGGGAAUUGGAGAACUUUUCUGUCUAGCUAAAGGUUUGUAAAUGCACCAAUCAGCACUCUGUAAAAAUGCACCAAUCAGCACUCUGUGUCUAGCUAAUGGUUUAUAAACACACCAAUCAGCACUCUGUAAAAAUGCACCAAUCAGCGCUCUGUGUCUAGCUAAAGGUUUGUAAACGCACCAAUCAGCACUCUGUAAAAACAGACCAAUCAGCACUCUGUAAAAUGGACCAAUCAGCAUUCUGUAAAAAUGGACCAAUCAGUAGGAUGUAGGCGGGGUCAAAUAAGGGAAUAAAAGCUGGCCACCCAAGCCAGCAGUGGCAAUCUGCUUGGGUCCCCUUCGACGUUGUGGAAGCUUUGUUCUUUUGCUCUUCACAAUAAAUCUUGCUGCUGCUCACUCUUUGGCUCCGCACUACCUUUACGAGCUGUAACACUCACUGCAGAGGUCUGCGGCUUCACUCCUGAAGUCAGCGAGACCACAAACCCACCUGGAGGAACAAACAACUCGGGACGCACCACCUUUAAGAGCUGUAACACUCACUGUGAACGUCUGCAGCUUCACUCCUGAAGUCAGCGAGACCACAAACCCACUGGAAGGAAGAAACUCCAGACGCAUCUGAACAUCUGAAGGAACAGACUCCGGACACACCAUCUUUAAGAACUGUAACGCUCACUGCGAGGGUCCGCGGCUUCAUUCUUGAAGUCAGUGAGACCAAGAACCCACCAGAAGGAAUAAAUUCUGGACACAAAAGUGUAUCUGGUAUCAUCAUUCAUUCAUUAAUUCAUUGACUAAUGCAUUUAUUAUUUCGAGAGUUAACAACUUUGCUAUUGCUACAUGUCAGAAUUUCUUUGAAGGGUCAGUAUUCCCAGCCCAGUGAUAUAUGCAGAACAGCAGUCUCAAGGAUUUGGGUUUCCCCAUUUUUGUGGGAUUGUGUUUGCCAAAACAAGAGGGAAGUUGAAUGAUGAAACUCAGUUGAUGAAAUAUCAACUGGAGACAAAAUUUUCAAUAUGUAUAAAAUAUAUUCAUUAAUUAUCAUACAAGUUGUAUGUAUAAAUAUGUUCCUAUAAACAUUCAACUGCUUCAGGGAUAUUCAACUUAGAAAUAUGCAUUUAUUCUUGACUUCUUUCUUUCUACAUUAUUGUGAUGUCAAUUCCAUGUCAUGCUUUUCCUUUACAGACCCUCAUGGGAUCCUUCUAAAUGAUUUCAGUGUCCUGCUAAAUGUCUUCAUCUACAUUAAUUCAUUUGCUUUCGUCAAACUAAUCCUCUCUUACCACACACACACUGACUGAAAUCAUUUUAAUAAAAUACAAACUUGAUCAUAUCAGCCUGCUACUCGAAACCCUUCAGAGAUUCCUCAUUUCCUUAUAAGCUAAAAUUCAGAUACUUUAUCACCUUCAAAUACAGUUCCAACAAACCACUCCAUAUGUAUUCUUUUGACUCUCUCAAUUUCUAACAUUUAUACAUCUUCAUUUUUUAUGUACAUGGUACAUCACAGACAUAGAAUUAUUAGUAUUCUCUAUUAAUACUAAUAUUCCUUGCCUAUCUGAAUAUUAUCCAUAUUUUAAGCUCUUUUUGUGGGGAGAAAAGUCUUCCUUUAAGGCCAUAGUUAAGAUUCUAAUGUCUUUCUAAAAUAAUUUAUGGAUUAAUUAAGUUAAUCCAUGAAUUAUGCACUCAAUAUCUAUUUAUCAUGUGCCUACAAUGUGUCAGGUAAUAUCCUAAAUUCUGGAAAAAAAAAUGGCAGCAGUAAACAAAAUAUAUGAGGACUCUGCCUUCUUAGAAUUUAGAAUAUAAUGGAGAAGAAAGGCCAUAAGAAAAUUAGCAAAUAAAAAAUUUGUUGAAAGUUGUAAUUGAGAAGGAAAAAGACAAGAGAAAGAGACCAAAAAAGGCAAGGGAAAGCCUACUUUGGAUUGGGAGACUUCACCUCUAUUAUAUGUUCAUGCUGUACAAAACAAGAAUGAACCCACUGAGAGAAGCCAGUUCAGCUGGAUUAUAAUUUUGAAAGGGAAGAAUAUCUGAGAUAGGGAUUUGGGGCAGUCAGGUCAGGAAGACAAUAUUAAAGAGGGAAGCUCUUGCUCUGAAGGUGACAGAAAGACCCUGUACGUUAAGAAGAGGAAGUAGAUAAUUUAAAAAGAAAGUCUACGUGCCAUAUGGAAUAUAGGCUGUGUAGGGGCAAAAAUCAUAGCAAUAACCACUCAGGAGGCAAAUGAGUGUAAGAUACAGAUAAUGCCAACUUUGGCUAAGCAGGUUGAUGGCAGUGGAGAUGGAAAGACAGGGACAAAGUGAAACAUUCUUUAGCAACAGAAGUUUGCUGAAUUGAAUUGAAUGCACACACUAGUAAACAAACCAAUUAAGUAUAUAGAUCAAGAGAAACUUUAGAGGGGAUUGCCAAGUUCAUUUUAAAUAUUCUUGAGUUUCAGAGAUGUCAUGCAGAAGGUAAAAAUACAAAAGUGGAACAUCUUUUUUGUGUGUGUAUGUUUGGACAUAAAAGUCAUAGAUACAAGCAGGGAAAUCAGCCAUGUUUUACUUUAUGAGUUAUGUUCACAGUAUUCCAUGUGCUGAGGAAACAAUCUUACCUUUAUGAGAUCUAGAUCAUUUAGGAAGCAUUCACUCAAACCACUCAGAGAAGUAGGGUAACACAUCUCCUAACACUGAAAGGACUAUGUGUUUUAAUUCAGUAAGUUAAAUUAGUACAAAGCUUCAUAAACCAGCUAAAGAUAGAAGCUGAUGAAUUGUUCAAUGGAGAGAACUGCAGAAGCCCUUUAAGAAAAGCCUACAAUUUUAAUGGAGUUGUUCAAAGUGUGUCAAAGAACUUAUGCAGAAACAGUCCUAAAAUAUCCCUAUUAGAUGCAUGUAUGUUUAGGUUUAUUUCAGAUUAAUUGUGUUAACCCUUGUGGCUUGGAAAAACAUUAAUAAUUGUUAAGUAAAUAAAUGUAACUGCCUCACCCUGGGUUAGACUACUUGAGGAAGUGCAUCUGAAAUUUUCUUGAAGAUCAUUUUCCACAGUUUCAAAACGAUUGGCUUUUUCUUGGUUCACACUGUCAAAUAAAUAAAGCAUAUCAGAAUUCACUUCUGAAGCAUGACUGCAUACUAAGCAAAUUUUGUAAAUAUGGCCUCUAUUUUAAUUUCACCAUAAAAAUAUUUUGUUAAACUGAAUCCAAAGUAUUUUCUCCUGAUGCUAAAAUAAAUAAGCAAAUAAAAUUAACUAUAUUUGUUGCAGAAGACCAUUGCAUGUGUUUUUUACAGUAUAUCUAAG